UACGGAGGGGGCUAGCGUUAUUCGGAAUUACUGGGCGUAAAGCGCACGUAGGCGGAUUUGAAAGUCAGAGGUGAAAUCCCGGGGCUCAACCCUGGAACUGCCUUUGAAACUCCAAGUCUUGAGUUCGAGAGAGGUGAGUGGAAUUCCGAGUGUAGAGGUGAAAUUCGUAGAUAUUCGGAGGAACACCAGUGGCGAAGGCGGCUCACUGGCUCGAUACUGACGCUGAGGUGCGAAAGCGUGGGGAGCAAACAGG
rnacentral:rRNA from 1 species